rnacentral:rRNA from 1 species
AGUGAACGCUGGCGGCAGGCCUAACACAUGCAAGUCGAACGGCAGCACAAGAGAGCUUGCUCUCUGGGUGGCGAGUGGCGGACGGGUGAGGAAUGCAUCGGAAUCUGCCCAUUUGUGGGGGAUAACCUCGGGAAACCGGGACUAAUACCGCAUACGACCUACGGGUGAAAGCAGGGGAUCUUCGGACCUUGCGCAGAUGGAUGAGCCGAUGCCGGAUUAGCUAGUUGGAGGGGUAAAGGCCCACCAAGGCGACGAUCCGUAGCUGGUCCGAGAGGAGGAUCACGGCCACUGGGGCUGAGCGGCGACACUGGCUCCUACGGGAGGCCGCAGUGCCGACUAGUGGACGCAGGGGGGAAGACUGCUCCAGCCGCGCCACCUGUGUGCAGAAGCCCUGCGGGUGGUAUAGCACUUUUGUUGUUGAAGACCAGCAUCCGGUUGAUACAAGCUUGUCAUGACGGUACCCACAGAAUAAGCACCGGCUAACUACGUG